ACAUGGACAAAUGCUAUAGGCGGGUUUUCCCAAAACUCGGCACCCAAUUUCGUCAUCUAGAGCUCCAAUUUUGAAGCCAAGGCUGUUAAUUUCAAGGAACCCUUGGAGUGGUUACAAGUUGCGUCUGAUGGCACUUGGCAUUCAUGGGCUAAGUUACGCACCUCUGAUUGGAACUUAUAACCAAUAAAGAAUGAAUGGAACUUGUCUGUGAUGUCAAGUUACCAUCUGUGAAGAUUAAAAGAACUUACCACUGAAGCAAGUUACCUCUAGUGAAGAUUGAUGAAGUCUCACUAAUGAAGAAGAGAUACCACGUAUUAGCCUAUCAUUUGACGAAGACAAUCUGUUGAGAGGAUGUUAUACGUAAUUGUCACUUGUCAAUUCCAUACAUCUCAACAAGAUAACAAAAACAUGAGUCCGCAUUGAAUUUAUUAUCACUUGACCUCAUAGCUUGUCGUGUCAAGCAGUUGAGAGUAUGAAUUCGGUGCUUGAAUUAUGUGUGCAAACUUUAGAGCAAAUUUGCAAGCCACCCAACCUAACAUAUCUAGGAAAUCGUCUGUAAAAUUUGUGACUAGUUCAUGAUGUAUUGAAACAUUUGAUUUUGAGUAAUACCUUGCGCUCAAAAGAAUUGUUCUUCUACU